AGCAACAAGGGAAAGUAUAUCCAGCUACUCAGUGAAAAAAGGCAAGUUAUAAAUAUUUUAUGAAACAACGUAGCAGGAAACGCUUAUCCUGGCGGAAAAAACGGUCUCGUUGCAUUUGGAGUGAAAUAGUUCUCUCAGCAUGCUCAGUGGAUGUUUAAUACCUUGAUUCGUCUCUUCUCAUUCAAUGUUAGAGAUUUAAACAUCAGUUAACUACCUGAAGUUUUAUUUUGCCAUUGCACAUGCCAUGCUUGUGCCGUCUGUACCAUUAAUCCGUUGGAUAUUUGCUGAUUAGUGCUUAAGGCUUGGAGAAUAUGAUUCACCGAUUAGUUGUUAUUGGUUUGAACUAAUUUUCAGUAACCACAAGUAUUGAUCGG
rnacentral:lncRNA from 1 species